AGAGUUUGAUCCUGGCUCAGAUUGAACGCUGGCGGCAUGCUUUACACAUGCAAGUCGAACGGCAGCACGGGUGCUUGCACCUGGUGGCGAGUGGCGAACGGGUGAGUAAUGCACCGGAACGUACCCAGUAAUGGGGGAUAACACAUCGAAAGAUGUGCUAAUACCGCAUACGCCCUGAGGGGGAAAGCGGGGGAUCGUAAGACCUCGCGUUAUUGGAGCGGCCGAUGCCGGAUUAGCUAGUUGGUGGGGUAAAGGCCCACCAAGGCGACGAUCCGUAGCUGGUCUGAGAGGACGACCAGCCACACUGGGACUGAGACACGGCCCAGACUCCUACGGGAGGCAGCAGUGGGGAAUUUUGGACAAUGGGGGGAACCCUGAUCCAGCCAUGCCGCGUGAGUGAAGAAGGCCUUCGGGUUGUAAAGCUCUUUCGCAAGGAAAGAAAUCCUAUCCGCUAAUACCGGGUGGGGAUGACGGUACCUUGAUAAGAAGCACCGGCUAACUACGUG
rnacentral:rRNA from 1 species